AGCUCAGUUGGUAGAGCAUCUGACUUUUAAUCAGAGGGUCACUGGUUCGAGCCCAGUACGGCUCA
rnacentral:tRNA from 1 species